rnacentral:lncRNA from 1 species
AACUGAUAUAGAUACUUUAUUUUAGCAUUUAACAUCAAUGGAUAAAAAAUCCAUAUAAACUAAACACAUAACAGUUCAUCAAAAGCAACAACAAUUUUCAAUGAAUAAGUAAGAUAAAAUGACUUAUGGGGUAAAACAUGAUAAGAUGUAACACAAUUAUACAAUGUUUAGCAUCAGGAGCUGAUACAGCCAUUUUGAAAAGGGGGUUUCCAAACUCAGGAUAAAGGGGAUGGUUCCCAACUAUAUGUCUCCAUUCGAAUGCAAUGAUCAUAAAAAGGGAGAGUUUCAACCCACCAGAACCCCUACCCCUCCUGAACCCGCCACUGAGCAUGAUUUUAUAAACAUAUAUGGCUCAAAUAUGCUCUACAGAGAGCAAUGACAGAAACAAAUUCAUUGAGCUGUACAUUGUAUAUAAAAGUAGCAUAAUGAUACUUCCAGAUUAAAACAGUUUUGCUCACUUUGUUUUUUUUUUCAUUUAUAAGAAAUAGUAAAGAUUUGUCAGUGGUGAACAUUUCAAUUAUACAUGCCUUGUAAAUUGUU